UAAUGAUCCUUCCGUAGGGUGACCUGCGGAGGGAUCAUUACCGAGUUUACAACUCCCAAACCCCUGUGAACAUACCACUUGUUGCCUCGGCGGAUCAGCCCGCUCCCGGUAAAACGGGACGGCCCGCCAGAGGACCCCUAAACUCUGUUUCUAUAUGUAACUUCUGAGUAAAACCAUAAAUAAAUCAAAACUUUCAACAACGGAUCUCUUGGUUCUGGCAUCGAUGAAGAACGCAGCAAAAUGCGAUAAGUAAUGUGAAUUGCAGAAUUCAGUGAAUCAUCGAAUCUUUGAACGCACAUUGCGCCCGCCAGUAUUCUGGCGGGCAUGCCUGUUCGAGCGUCAUUUCAACCCUCAAGCACAGCUUGGUGUUGGGACUCGCGUUAAUUCGCGUUCCCCAAAUUGAUUGGCGGUCACGUCGAGCUUCCAUAGCGUAGUAGUAAAACCCUCGUUACUGGUAAUCGUCGCGGCCACGCCGUUAAACCCCAACUUCUGAAUGUUGACCUCGGAUCAGGUAGGAAUACCCGCUGAACUUAAGCAUAUCAA
rnacentral:misc_RNA from 1 species